rnacentral:rRNA from 1 species
ACUCCUACGGGAGGCAGCAGUGGGAAUCUUGGACAAUGGGGAACCCUAGAUCCAGCCAUGCCGCGUGAGCGAUGAAGGCCUUAGGGUUGUAAAGCUCUUUCAGGUGGGAAGAUAAUGACGGUACCACCAGAAGAAGCCCGCGUACAUCCGUGCCAGCAGCCGCGGUAAUACGGAGGGGCGUAGCGUUGUUCGGAAUUACUGGGCGUAAAGCGCACGUAGGCGGAUUGGAAAGUUGGGGUGGAA